UACGAAGGGGGCGAGCGUUGUUCGGAAUUACUGGGCGUAAAGGGCGCGUAGGCGGCCGAUCAAGUCAGAUGUGAAAGUCCUGGGCUUAACCUGGGGACUGCAUUUGAUACUGAUUGGCUUGAAUUCGGGAGAGGAUAGCGGAAUUCCCAGUGUAGAGGUGAAAUUCGUAGAUAUUGGGAGGAACACCAGUGGCGAAGGCGGCUCACUGGACCGGCAUUGACGCUGAGGAGCGAAAGCCAGGGGAGCAAACGGG
rnacentral:rRNA from 1 species